UGAAGAUCCUGGAUCUUUGGCCUAGUCUGGGGCCUGACUAUCCCUGGCGGUUCUGCAAGAUGAAGCCAUUCACUAAAGGCAAACCAUAUGUCAAAUAUAGCCACCAAAGGAACAGAAAGACAUCUCUGAGAGAUCAUCUGACUCUGGUAUGAGGAUGGCCAAGUCACUUUUUGGAGCCCUUGAGGAUUUAUAGGGCACAGGAGCAUCACCUCAAAGUAGCCACUGAUCACUGACAAUAAUAUGCAGAGGAAUCUGCAUAUCUCAUCAAUUCCAUGAGGGAUGCAGAGGUAUCAAGAAAGCUUGCUGACUGAUAUGCCGCUUGUUUGAAAAACAUUUAUGAUCUUUUAUUAGCUUCUGAGGUGCCCUACAUGUUUGUCCACACAGCAGAAGAAACAAAUACAGAAGCCUUCUUCUUUGACAUUUCCAUCAGGAAUACACUUCCCUGUGUGUCUGCCAUGUGCUAACUUACAACUUGUGUUUGGGUUUGUUCCAAAGAGUAAACAAGGAACCAUUCCCAGAAGCAGCAGCUCUCCGUGUGAAAAGCCACUCUACAAACUAAAGGUCAAAAAGGUAUGUAAUCAGAAUCAACCAACAGCUGGGGAACGAAGAGCACAGCCUAUUUUGACAUAUAAACAAUCCUGGAAGAAGUGAGCAAUCCUAAUCAUGCCCUCAAAGCCCUGAUGUGAUGAGAGUAGGAGGGAAAAAGGACUACACCAUGUGCUAAGGACCCCAGCAUUGCAGCUGCUUGUGCAGAAAGGAGCAAGCCCCACAACAGAAAAUGCCACUCGGAAGAGGGGAACUUCCUGGGUUUAUUGCAGCUAAUUUGAUUUAUCAAUACCCCAAAGGAGAAAAAAAAAGCAGUUUAUAACCACAGACCUUCAGUAGAGCAGCAGAACCAAACCUGCAAAUGAAGGCAAAGCCUGGAGUGCUGCAGAGCCACAAAGUGUGGGAGUGCAAAACGAGAAAGAAAAAAAGAAGUGAACGAGAGAGGCACAACCUUUGGUAGACUGAUCUGUGACACCCCAUAAUCUUUUGAUACUGUCUUGAUUUCUAAUUGUUUUUCACAUUUUUAGCAAAAGAAAUAAAUAAAA